UUCUCUUUCCCCUUUUCUCUUUCUCAACUCAUCCUUUUCUCUCUUCAACUCUGCAAACCCAAAAACACCUCUUUUCCCCUUUCCCUUAUCUUUCUGUCUUCAAAUCUGCAGACCCGAUAACUUAUAAUGAAGUUUAUCUGCUCAAAAUAAAAAAAUCCUAGAAUUAAAUUUCCGUUUACCUCUCAAUAAAAACACCCAGAUCUGAAAAACCAUAGUUUGAAUCGAAGAGGAAACAAAAGAUCAGAAUCCUUUUUCGGUUUUUAUUUUUCGAUUCAUUUUCUAAAACUAAGAACUUGUUACUUGUGUUCUUGUGAAACGAAGAAAUAUGGCUAACUGAUUUCGAUGGCCAACUGAUGUAAUUCCCUAACUGGAGAAAUUUAAUUUGUAGAAUUUUUUCAUUGAUUUUUGUUUUUAUUUUGCUGUAGAAUUUGAACUUGUAGAAUUUUUUUCAUUGAUUUUUCUUUUUAUUUUGAGUUGAUAUUAUUUGUGUUGGGUUUCCUUGUGUUUCGUUGUCUGAUUUAGUAUUUCUAUGAAUCCUGAAGGUCUUAGUUUCAUCUUUGCUGAGCUUAUUUUUGAAAAGCAUUAAUUACUAAUUUCUUUGUAUUUAACUUUCUGAUUUCGUAUCUCUCUAUAUGCACUUAUAUCAUCGUGAAGAUUUACUUAAUUUCAAUUUGUGCAGAUAAUUAAUCAGUUACCAAGCUUUAGGGAUUUUAAAUAAAUUUUAGUAAUUUUAGUUUUGAUGGUUAAGUAAAGACUUCCGGUUCUUACUAGCAUGGAUGAUUUGGAAAAACCCAUUAAUUUUAUAAGGGUUUUGAAAAUUUGAUUUACAGAGUUGUUGAUUUUUCUGUUUUGAACAAGAUGUUUUUCGAGAAUGUUGUUAUUGACUUGAUGAUGGGUCUAUUAGAACAACUGAAUGACUAAUAUUGGUUGUUGUAGGCAUGGAGGUUGAGUCUUUGGGUUCUAAAUGACUACAAUACAUUUAUUUUCACUGGGUUUUUCAUCUUACAUUAGAUGGGUUCAUCUCACCCUUGUUUUCAUUUUAUCCCGGCUUUUUAACUGUUACAUUAGAUGGGUUUAUAACUAAGUUGAUAACAGUCCCAGUGCCGAAGAGGAGCUGUAAAUGGAAUUUCAUCAACUGCAAUAUCUUUAUUCAAAGUAUUCGGUCCAGGUGGUGGUGGUGCCAUGUCUAUAUGAUUGAUCAAACUGCUGACUUGUUUGAUCGUUCUUCUAUACAAAUGAAAGUCACAAUCAUUCUUUGAUUUGGAUAACACAAACAAUGAGCUCAAAAAUGAAUUUGAAGGACCUUUAUCUUAACUCAACAGUGUAACGAAACACAAAUUCUCUAUGAUUUUACCAUGUUUACCAGUCAUCAUCAAUAUAACUUUUAUUAAUGUAAUAUAUUUGAAAACAAAAUAGCCAAGAAGAGAAGCUUGCUGGUUAAAGUGUGAGUAGGAAGGUUGUAAUGUUGAAGACUUAAAAGAGUUUAGGAAUGAUUAGGAGGUUUGGUUUGUCUCAAAAUGAAACUCUGAAUAAGGAAUCAGGGAAGAUUUGGAACAAGAAAACAACGAUAAAUGGUACGGUUGGCUAUCAAUGGGGUUGUAAACAAUUUGCAAAAUUAUAUAAAAAGAAUUGGCUAUUCGUGUUUGUAGAGCUCAACAGAUGUGUUUGUUACUGCUGAUAUCGGUGCCCUGCUUUACCAAGGCUGCCACAUAUGAAGAUUACUUCACAACUAGUAUACGUCUUUCUAUGUAUUUUCACUAGUAUACGUCUUUCUAUCUAUUCCCAUAAAUAUGAUUUAUUGAUGUUUCAGAUUAUUCUACCAGUAAGAGUGAUACUUCUUCGUGUAGUAUUUUCACUUCUUACCAAGUCAGAUUGGUGUAUAUCAAAAUUCAGAAGCAUGUGGAUCAGGAAUUAAGUUCCAAUUGUAGAUUUUAGCAGUAUUCGUUCAAUUGAAUUCAAGCAAGCACUCAAACUACUGUAAACUGCAUUCUAGAUUACAAACACCAGUAUAUUGGGCCAUGCAACCCAUUUAUAUAUGGUUGUUCCAUUUCAAUCUUUGAUAAUGUGCAUAUGAUAUGGUUUUUCUUUUUUAUAAACAUUUUAUAUAGUAUUGUGACCUCCCACAUUAAUCAGCUGAUGGUGAAACUUAUUUUUGAUGUA